rnacentral:ncRNA from 1 species
CUGAGUACUGACGGUUGGGAUCCAGUUGUCAUAUGUAUUUUAUAUACGGAUCCCAACACGGUGCUGUUUCCGUUAAGCAGUGGAAGUUGGCUAGGUGCUUCGCAUCUUACCAAGGUGGAAUGUACAUCCUAACCAUGUACAUUCGUUUGGAACCCUCAAGGGGAAGUCUUCGGAUGGAACUUUGGGGGGGCGUUGCGGCGCAAUCCAAACUCGCUAUAUAUUUCCUACUUUGUAGGAAAUAAGAUACACGUGGUAGUAAACCCUCAAUAGGGUAAACCCUCAUAGGAUUCUGUCCCUAUCUACUAGGGCAAUCCAAUUGAGGUUGGCCCCCUUUAGUGGGAGUAUCGUGGUGGCUGUGGUGUUACUUAGCUGUGUCUUCAGAAAAGUCGGAGCACAGCUGUUGGGUCCAAUGUGUAUUUGGAUCACAACCGGAUGCUGUACCCGUAGUCAGCAGAGGUUAUGAUAGGCCUCGCCUCGACCCAAGAGGGAAUUGCGUCCGACAACACAAUUCGAGUUGGUAGCUAAAAGAGUUCUUUUAGAGGCGUUGGUGGACGCAUUGUUUUCACCCGCUGUACUAUGUGUCACAUAUUUGGCACAUGCGAGUACCGUGGUUGUAAACCCCCAUCGGGGUACACGUCACGUUAAACAAAUCAAGGAUUCUGUCCCUAUCUACUAUCUAGCGAAACCACAGCCAAGGGAACGGGCUUGGAAUAAUUAGCGGGGAAAGAAGACCCUUUUGAGCUUGACUCUAAUCUGGCAGUGUAAGGAGACAUAAGAGGUGUAGAAUAAGUGGGAGAUAUUAGGCUUCGGUUUGAUAUCGCCAAUGAAAUACCACUACUCUUAUUGUUUCCUUACUUACUUGAUUAAGUGGAACGUGUAUCAUUUCCUAGCCAUUAUACGGAUAUAUUAAUUAUGUCUUAUGGUAUUGGGUUUUGAUGCAAGCUUCUUGAUCAAAGUAUCACGAGUUUGUUAUAUAAUCGCAAACAAAUUCUUUAAUGAGAAAAUGCAGCAAUGUGUUUUUGAUUUAAUAAUUUGGUAUAACUCCAAUUACUCAGGUAUGAUCCAAUUCAAGGACAUUGCCAGGUAGGGAGUUUGACUGGGGCGGUACAUCUCUCAAAUAAUAACGGAGGUGUCCCAAGGCCAGCUCAGUGCGGACAGAAACCACACAUAGAGCAAAAGGGCAAAUGCUGACUUGAUCUCGGUGUUCAGUACACACAGGGACAGCAAAAGCUCGGCCUAUCGAUCCUUUUGGUUUAAAGAGUUUUUAACAAGAGGUGUCAGAAAAGUUACCAUAGUGAUAAAUGGGCAAAGGCGGCCAAGUGUUCAUAGAGAAGUCGGUAUAUGAUCGUUUGAUGUUGGAUAUUCCAAUCCC